UACGUAGGUUCCGAGCGUUAUCCGGAUUUACUGGGCGUAAAGCGUGUUCAGGCGGCUCAUCAAGUCGGGCAUGAAAUCUCUCGGCUCAACCGGGAGAGGCUGUCCGAUACUGCUGGGCUUGAGGGCAGUAGAGGGUGGUGGAAUUCCGGGUGUAGUGGUGAAAUGCGUAGAUAUCCGGAGGAACACCAGUGGCGAAAGCGGCCACCUGGACUGUACCUGACGCUCAAACACGAAAGCUAGGGGAGCGAACGGG
rnacentral:rRNA from 1 species